UGUUUUGGUAAUAGAAACUCUUCUAUUGUGUUAUAAAAAACAUAAAACUGUCUCCCAAUGUAAUAUUCUCUUCUUUCUUCCUCUUCGAAUCCCAAUCACUCUAUCUUCUCUCUCACUUUUGAUCUCCAUCUCCUUCUCUUUACAAAGAGGUUGAUAUCUGGCGUGGGAGUAAUCGUUUCGGAUCCAUGGCUACAAAGCCAGCUCAUGCAAGUCGAGCUUCAUUCUCUCAAUUCCAAGUUUGCGGCGUUGAAGAAUUAGAGAAAUAAGGUUACGUUAGAGGAUCUUCCACCUGUGUUGGUGAAGGUGAAGUCACUCACCUAUGCGUUCAAGGAGAAAGAAAUCAAAGAGAUCUUACCAGAUUUGGCUUCUGAUUAGUUUUGUGAAUCCCUUUCGAUGUCUUAAAUGUGUUUCUUGGACUCGAAGAUAACUAAGAUAAUGUUUGUUUGUAUGAGCUUGUGAAAGAUGGUGUGCUUCUAUGGUAAAUGUAGAGUUUUUUUCAUUGAAUUGCAUCUUAGAUAUGGUUUCUGGGGGUUUGACUUGAUUCUUUUUUUGGCACAGUAAGUUUAUUAAUAUAGCAGUUUAUUAAUAUGGCAAUUCCUGGGACGAUUGAUGAACGAGCCAUCAACACGAAGAGAGUACUUAACUGUGGGAGAGAGAUGAAAAUCAUACGCUCUGUCUCAACUCUGCUAGAGCUGUUGGAAGCAACAUGGUUAAUAUUGGGACACAUGACCUAGCUGAAGGAUGGCCUCAUCUUGUGCUUGGAUUGAUCUCACAACUCAUAAAGUUUCAGCUCCUCGCUCAUCUUAGUUUGAAGAAGAUGCCUCAGCUUAUUGAGUUGGUGGUGAGGACAACCAAGUAAUGAUUAAGCAUAUCUCUUUUUGAAUUUUGACUAAUGUAUAUGUGUGUUGUAAAUAACAAUAAAUAGUUUCAUGUCUGUUGCAUGAUAUAGAAGAACUUCUGAGAUUA